rnacentral:misc_RNA from 1 species
GAUGAAGAACGUAGCGAAAUGCGAUAAGUAGUGUGAAUUGCAGAAUUCAGUGAAUCAUCGACUCUUUGAACGCACAUUGCGCCUUCUAGUAUUCUGGGAGGCAUGCCUGUUUGAGCGUCAUUAAACCUCUCUCAAGUAUGAUUACUUGGAUGUGAAGGAAGAGUACCUUAAACUUAAGGAGUGUUCUCCUUUGAAAUUGAUUAGCAGAUGGUAAUGUUAAUAAAUCCCUGAUGUUGUAAGAAAUAACAGUGGUUUUGUAGACUAUUAUCUAGCUUUAAAUUAUAAUUUUUAUUAUGGUUGACCUCAAAUCAGGUAAGGAUACCCGCUGAACUUAAGCAUAUCAAUAAGCGGAGGA